AGUAAAGAUCCAUCAAGUCUAUCUGUAUACAUCUUUUUGAUAUAUCGAAAUUUGUUUAUGGUUUGAAAUACAAUACACCGCUUAUUAUACCGCAUAUUUAUCAGUAACAGUUGUCUGCUGAAGAGAUCGAUCAUUUGUUAAUUCCACCUGUUUGUUAUCAGACGUGCUAAGUCAGUGUUUCUCUCGUGGAUUCUCAUCGUUUUAAAUCGUCGUCAAACCUUACUGACGUUACUCACCGCCAUGCCUAAACACGAUUCCAUUUCGCUGGCCGAUUACGACUUGGAAUCCGGGGAAGAAGACUAUGCGUUUGCCAAUUAUGACAACGAUCGUUUCGCUGAUGAGAUGGACGAACUGGAACGCGAGCGAGAUGGCGAGGCUUCGACAGCCAAAGAUGCUGCUGCGAAGACCGUCGAUCGGAAAGAUGGAAAGACAGAGGAAGCUGCGGAGAAGAAGCCUAAACGAGUCAUGGGGCCGCCUGUUAAGUUGGACCCUGUGUGGACCGCCGGGACUGCCGGCGCUGGUGAAGGAUUUCGAGAACAUCAAGUGGCGUCCCAACGGAUGCGACGUGCGAGCGUACCAGGAAUGAACCAGUGAACAGACGAAAAGUUGGAUAACCAACAGAAUACAAAGAAAAUCUACAAAUUUUGAUGAGGAAAAUGGAAGCGUGGGCGCACAGCAUGUAUCCCAAGGCUCGCUUUGAUGACACGCUGGAAAAGAUCAAACAUAUUGGAAGCAAAGCCAAAGUUAAGACGUGCGUCAAAAGGCUGGUUCGGGACUUCCGGUGCUUCCCGAGGAUUGCGUGGGGGCUGACUUAAUCGAAACGGACACUCCUAGUAAAAAUACGGGAAACGUUGCGGCUAACCCUAGGAUUUCUAAUAAUGCUAAAGACGAGGAUUUCGCUUGGUUUGAACAAAUGAUGGCGGAUUCUGACGCACUGGCGCAAGCACAGAUGCUUUCCUCGCUACCACUCGUGAUCGUUAGCGCUACCACUCGUGAUCGUUCGCGCAGGUUGGUAAUUGUGAGAUCCUUCUUUAAUAUUGACGCAUUUUUCUGCUUCCGUAAGCUGAACGGAUGUGUAAUAGCGUAUGCGCUUCACGUUGUCUUGUCAGAACAGUGACCUCAGGCAGCAUAUACUACGUAAUGUUCCUCUUGAUGCGGUGUUGUUAAUAGUUUGUCGCCUGUCGUUGUGAAUCACUACUCGAAUUCCAAUCCAGAAUUGAAAGGUCAGCCUGCUUUGAAUAAGCAGAACAACAAUUACGGUUCGGAAAAAAGCGCCUCUUCUUCUUUGAUCAAACUAGGAGAAAAGAAGAAACCAUUAAGAUCUCCAUAAUGGAUAAUUUUCUGGAGGAUGAUGAUUUUGAUCAGGAGCUCAAUGCCAUGGAAAACAUUUCGUAACAUGACAGGUGAACUAUCAACAGUUUUCCAGCUUUUUCGUCUGGAAUGCAUCAAACUGCUGGCCAACCGGCAAAACGGAAGUUCAUGAUGCAGGAAGAUGACGACGAUAUUGGGAGUGAGUCAGGAAAGCUCUUGAUGCGAGUGGACAAAGGUGGUAAAGCCGCUCAGCCAGAAAAACAAAGGAUUAUGAUCAACGAAGACGACGAUGUUGUUAGCCGCCCGAAUCGUGUCCACACCAACGACGACGCUGAUGCCAUCCCGGCGGGCAUACGAAAGGAUGUAUUCAGUGAAGACAGCGACGACGAUGCCGUCAGCCAGUCGAAACUUGUGGCCGCCGAAGCACAGAUCGAUAUCGCCAUUCCGGCGGGCAAGCCAAAGACUGGGUUCUUUCAAGUCGAUGACGAUGAUGUGUCUAACCAAACGGGAAAAGCUUGUAAUUGUGGAAGACGAUGACGACAACAAUGUUGUCAUCCAGCCGGCUAAAUGAAAGCCUGUAGUCACGGAAGACGACGACAAUAUGGAUAGGGCGAACUACGAUGAGAUGGACGCGCUGGCAUUCAUCAAUGCGGAUUAGUCGCUAUUAUCGCUUUCAUAGCCCCGCUUUGUCAUAAACUGACGACCAUACCGAUGUAUAUCGCCAUAUUUUGCUGACGACUUGUUGUCUCUUCUUUUUGGAUUGUUCACAUUACCUGUUCAUUUGUGCUGCAGCUACAUCUACUGCGCUUGUCAUUAAAAUUUUUGUGUUUGUAUUCCAGUGAUGUGCAUUUUACGCUUUUCUAGUUUCUUCCU